rnacentral:rRNA from 1 species
UACAGAGGUCUCAAGCGUUGUUCGGAUUCAUUGGGCGUAAAGGGUGCGUAGGUGGUGCUGUAAGUCAGGGGUGAAAUCUCGGGGCUCAACCCCGAAACUGCACUUGAUACUGCAGUGCUCGAGGACUGGAGAGGAGAUUGGAAUUCAUGGUGUAGCAGUGAAAUGCGUAGAUAUCAUGAGGAAGACCAGUGGCGAAGGCGGAUCUCUGGACAGUUCCUGACACUGAGGCACGAAGGCCAGGGGAGCAAACGGG